CACAGCAUAGCUUAUCAAAGCAUCCCGCUUACACCGAGAAGAUAUCUUAUAAUUAGAUCACUGUGA
rnacentral:tRNA from 1 species